rnacentral:rRNA from 1 species
AGUGAACGCUGGCGGUAGGCCUAACACAUGCAAGUCGAACGGCAGCACAGUAAGAGCUUGCUCUUACGGGUGGCGAGUGGCGGACGGGUGAGGAAUACAUCGGACUCUACUUUUUCGUGGGGGAUAACGUAGGGAAACUUACGCUAAUACCGCAUACGACCUACGGGUGAAAGCAGGGGAUCUUCGGACCUUUCGCGAUUGAAUGAGCCGAUGUCGGAUUAGCUAGUUGGCGGGGUAAAGGCCCACCAAGGCGACGAUCCGUAGCCGGUCUGAGAGGAUGGUCAGCCACACUGGAACGGGAACACGGUCAAGGCUACUAAGGGACGGAGCAGUGGGGUAUAUGGGGCAAUGGGGGGAAGCCUGAUACAGCGAGAGCGCGUGGGUUAAGGAAGCGUUCGGGUUGGAAAGCCCGUUUGUUGGGAAAAAAAAGCAGCAGGUUAAUACCCCGCUGUUCUGACGGUACCCAAAAAAUAAGCACCGGCUAACUUCGUG